CUUGAUACAAUAAUAUUAUUUCAGAGUUGGUGGUUUUACACUUGUAUUCUACUGGAAACAGAUUCUGGGACCAGGAAAAUUCAUAAGAAAAUGAUGUAUCAGGGAGUGUUCCCAGGAAAAAGGACCAUGUAAGGGAGUGACGUGAAACAGAGGUGACUUGGGGAGGGCGCAGGUAAGGCUGGCUGUGGCCGAGAAGGUGUGGCUGGCGGUGGAAAGCACACCCAGAGUCAGUGCCCUCUGCUGGCAUCCGCGGAAGGGGAUCUCAAAAAAGGAGCAGCGUUAUGGAAGAAAAGAAGAGAUAGCUCUGAUUUUGCUGUUUUAUUUCCACAUGGAUACCAAACUCAUCACUCCCUGAAGAAGCAAAAGCAACCUGAAGAGGGUAAGGUGCAUUGUUCUCGCAGUUGGGAGGCCUGGGCUUCAGCCCUGGUUUGGGCAGCAGCAUGACCCUGGGGGGACCCUGGAGGAGCCGGUCAGUCUCGGUGGCCCUCAGCUUCCCCUCAGGACCCCGCACAACCUCAGAGGCAACAAUGCCAAGUAAACAUUGGUUGGUUGACUAAAAUUGUGUUAUUUCAGCACUGUAGGAAUUUAGGUCGUGGCUAACCUCCAAGCUCCCUUCCUGCUGGGUCUUUAACAGGGAGACUUCCUCUCGGUUUCCAUGUUUCUGUUAUUCUUCUAGAGGAGUUUUCUUUUGUGUAUGUGAUUCAGCUCUUCAGAGGGCCCCGUGACAGUCAUAUGAGAUGUGUUUAAUUUUGU
rnacentral:lncRNA from 1 species